UAGGUAACCUGCCUCUAAGAUUGGGAUAACUUGUCGAAAGACGAGCUAAUACCAAAUAAGACCACGGUCUCCUCGGGGACAGAGGUCAAAGGUAGCCUCUAUUUAUAAGCUAUCGCUGAGAGAUGGGCCUGCGUACCAUUAGCUUGUUGGUGAGGUAACGGCUCACCAGGGCAAAGAUGGUUAGCUGGUCUGAGAGGAUGAUCAGCCACACUGGAA
rnacentral:rRNA from 1 species